ACGGGAGGCAGCAGUGAGGAAUAUUGGUCAAUGGGCGAGAGCCUGAACCAGCCAUGUCGCGUGCAGGAAUACGGCCCUAUGGGUUUUAAACUGCUUUUGCCUGGGGAUAAAGUGGCGGACUUGUCCGUUAUUGCAGGUACCAGGCGAAUAAGGAUCGGCUAACUCCGUGCCAGCAGCCGCGGUAAUACGGAGGAUCCGAGCGUUAUCCGGAUUUAUUAGGUUUAAAGGGUGCGCAGGCGGGACAUUAAGUCGGUGGUGAAAUACCGUAGCUCAACUACGGGGCUGCCAUCGAUACUGAUGACCUUGAGUGCGGAUGAGGAAGGCGGAAUGUGGCGUGUAGCGGUGAAAUGCUUAGAUAUGCCACAGAACACCGAUUGCGAAGGCAGCUUUCCAAUGCGUAACUGACGCUCAUGCACGAAAGCGCGGGUAGCGAACAGGAUUAGAUACCCUGGUA
rnacentral:rRNA from 1 species